AGAGUUUGAUCCUGGCUCAGAUUGAACGCUGGCGGCAGGCCUAACACAUGCAAGUCGAACGGUAACAGGAAGCAGCUUGCUGCUUUGCUGACGAGUGGCGGACGGGUGAGUAAUGUCUGGGAAACUGCCUGAUGGAGGGGGAUAACUACUGGAAACGGUAGCUAAUACCGCAUAACGUCGCAAGACCAAAGAGGGGGACCUUCGGGCCUCUUGCCAUCGGAUGUGCCCAGAUGGGAUUAGCUAGUAGGUGGGGUAACGGCUCACCUAGGCGACGAUCCCUAGCUGGUCUGAGAGGAUGACCAGCCACACUGGAACUGAGACACGGUCCAGACUCCUACGGGAGGCAGCAGUGGGGAAUAUUGCACAAUGGGCGCUAGCCUGAUGCAGCCAUGCCGCGUGUAUGAAGAAGGCCUUCGGGUUGUUAAGUACUUUCAGCGGGGAGGAAGGGAGUAAAGUUAAUACCUUUGCUCAUUGACGUUACCCGCAGAAGAAGCACCGGCUAACUCCGUGCCAGCAGCCGCGGUAAUACGGAGGGUGCAAGCGUUAAUCGGAAUUACUGGGCGUAAAGCGCACGCAGGCGGUUUGUUAAGUCAGAUGUGAAAUCCCCGGGCUCAGCCUGGGAACUGCAUCUGAUACUGGCAAGCUUGAGUCUCGUAGAGGGGGGUAGAAUUCCAGGUGUAGCGGUGAAAUGCGUAGAGAUCUGGAGGAAUACCGGUGGCGAAGGCGGCCCCCUGGACGAAGACUGACGCUCAGGUGCGAAAGCGUGGGGAGCAAACAGGAUUGGAUACCCUGGUAGUCCA
rnacentral:rRNA from 1 species